rnacentral:rRNA from 1 species
UACAGAGGGUGCGAGCGUUAAUCGGAAUUACUGGGCGUAAAGCGUGCGUAGACGGUUAUUUAAGUCGGGUGUGAAAUCCCCGGGCUCAACCUGGGAACUGCAUUUGUGACUGCAUGGCUAGAGUACGGUAGAGGGGGAUGGAAUUCCGCGUGUAGCAGUGAAAUGCGUAGAUAUCGGGAGGAAUACCAGUGGCGAAGGCGGCGACCUGGGCCAAUACUGACGCUGAGGUGCGAAAGCGUGGGGAGCAAACAGG